GACUUAAAAUCCGUUGACUUUAGAAGUGGUGAGG
rnacentral:tRNA from 1 species